UUUGUCUAAAGGAAAACAUCUGCAUGAAAAUGCUUUGGACUUACCAAUAUUAAGAAGUUUGCGGAGAUGACCCAUUAGAGGGUGGUUGCCCUGUCCACAGAAUCGCCCCGCAAAGUCAUCCAAAUCAAGGGCCCAGACAAAGGCACCUCCGAACUUCUGCUCCUGCAGGGAACUUUCUGGUCGUCAAUCCAUUGAAUGGUAGUGCCUUUCAGGAAGGUGCAGAUCUACCAUAGACAUCAUCAGGUUUGUGUAGCUUAGUAAUGUGUAUGUUUCACACAGUCUAUUAAAUGCCAAUGUAAUUGAGACAACACAUCAUAUUGUAAUGGCUUUACUCCUUAUCUGAAAUGUACCUCAUAGUGGGACCAGAAUCCAGCUUCACGUGUGAAUGGUCCGGCUGAUGCAGGGCCAUUAGCUGGGGCUCCAACGCCAGUGUCUGAUGAUGUCAGACGGAAGUGUUAAAGUAGAUGAGGUCACCAAAGUCCUCGGAGCCACGGAAGAGUGGGCUGUUAUGUCCAGUGAACUGCUCCCAAGUCCCAUGGAAGUCAUAGGUCAUCACAUUUAUGAAUUCCAGGUACCUAGAGAUAGGGGAAAUAGUCAUUGAAAGACCUUUGUUAAACUCCCAGUUUUCUCUCUCAAGAGGUAUUCAUGACCGCACACUCACUUGGCAAUCUCAGCAAUCUCAUAUCCAGCAUCGAUGGUUCCCUUUCCAGCAGACACUGCAGCAGUCACCAUGAGCUGAGGAUUGCCAGUGGCCUUGGCCUCAGCUGCGUAGGCUUCAAAGAGUUCCUACAAAUACAGACCAAAGAAGAAGUCAACAUGAUGUUAACCGUAGAACAGUAGCUGCGAAUUGCAGCUAGAAACCGAGAAAUCUGUACCUACUUUGCAGAGCAGAGUGAACAGCUGUUUGUCCUGUGGGGGACUUCCACGAGCACCAGGGUACUCCCAGUCCAGAUCCAGACCAUCAAAUCCAUGAGUCCUCAGGAAUUUGAUAGAAGACUGGAUGAACGUCUGUCUGUUAGCUGGAGAGGACACCAUGAUGGAGAACCUGCAGGGAAGAUUGAGCUCUGUUAUCCUACUUGGUACGAUCAGAAAGUAGGCUAACAAAGGCGGCCUUUAGCAACCCUUAGCUUUAUGGCAACAACUGACUGAAUUUUGAUUGGAAAUAUGUUUUAUCAUUACUACUUUUAUGUUUUUACAUAUGGGGUUUAUAACUUGCAAACCACACUAUCUGGUUAGCUAUCUAUUGUUGAUUUUUUUCUAAACACUCAGUAAUGCAAGUAUAAACUAGUAUUAAGUAGUGUAGUGCUGUAAGUCAAAGAUCAGAUCAGCUAAAUCUGCCUACUGGUCAGUUAGCUAUACAAAAAACUAUGUACAUUUAUAUAGGCUAUAUUUUGCCUUCAGUUAAGACUCCAUUGGACUUUCAGGAUGUUUUAAGAAUGUAGUGGUCAGAUCAUUGGUAACAUAACUCCAAGCAAUCUGUAUUUGCCUUACCAACUGACUUUAAUUCCCUCACACUCACAGAAUUAUUUAAUUAUGUUUAACAGAUUUCAAAAUUAUUAGUUCACACAGGUUCUCUAGGUUUAUCACAAGAGCAGGCAACAGCAGAGGAAACUGUCACAAUUUUUCAAGGUUCAAGUAUAUAUUUAGAAAAAACUGACUGCACCAAGGACAGGGGUUUAAUUUAUUGUUUGCACAUGGCAAAAAAAUCAUUUUACUUAUUUUGGUUUUAUUGUAAUAAACUCACUAACUCAUAAACACUUUAAAAAUCAACUAAAAUCUUUACACUAAACAAAAAAAGGCAGUUUCUGUUAUUUUGUCUCUUUUACAGGAUUUAUGUCAUUAACUGGGGAAGUUGUGUGGUGAUAUGUUUUACUUAUUUUGUGUAUCCCUGCAUUGCCUUGUCCAAUGUAUGCAAAUUAGCGCAUUUAAUUAGUUAACGCCUAUUUUGCAUAUCAAUUUGGUGCUUGUGGUGAUGUCAUUGUUCUGUAAAGGGAACUAUAAUUUGACUAUAGUGUGACACGGACUGUUUUCUGCGACGCACAAGUUCAAAUAAACGUUCACAUGGAAUGCACAAAGUUCUCUGU